rnacentral:lncRNA from 1 species
UAAUCGAAAAUGGAAGUAGAUUUCUGAAACUUUGCAUGUUUCCGAAAAUUAUGCUGAAACUUCUGUCAUUUUGAUGAAAAAGCUGUAAAAUACCACUAGGAUGUAAAACCUGCAUUCUUUUUCCGGGUCAUUUCAUAGAUAGUCGCUCACCAACAUUGCACACACAGCAUUGGUCUUGGAAAAAAAUGGAGACCACAAAGAAAGAGGUCUCGGAGUUUGUAUGGCCAGGAAGAAUUACCCAGGUGAUUGAUCCACAUUACUUCUGGAUGCAACUUGGCACAAGGGAGAACUUGCUUCAGUUUGAGCAGUUACAACGUGACAUGCAAGUGUUUGCAUGCCAGAACUGGGCACCAGCAUCUAGUAUAGAUGAGCUUGAACCUGGCAUGGUGGUUUUAGUUGACUCUGACUCUGAAGACCUAACUUGCUUAAAGAGAGGACAAAUAGCUCGUGU